UACAGAGGGGGCAAGCGUUGUUCGGAAUUACUGGGCGUAAAGGGCGCGUAGGCGGCCUGCUAAGUCGAACGUGAAAUCCCCGGGCUCAACCCGGGAACUGCGUCCGAUACUGGAAGGCUUGAAUCCGGGAGAGGGAUGCGGAAUUCCAGGUGUAGCGGUGAAAUGCGUAGAUAUCUGGAGGAACACCGGUGGCGAAGGCGGCAUCCUGGACCGGCAUUGACGCUGAGGCGCGAAAGCCAGGGGAGCAAACGGG
rnacentral:rRNA from 1 species